rnacentral:rRNA from 1 species
CGGGCUURCUAACAUGCAGUCGAACGGCAGCACGGGUGCUUGCACCUGGUGGCGAGUGGCGAACGGGUGAGUAAUACAUCGGAACAUGUCCUGUAGUGGGGGAUAGCCCGGCGAAAGCCGGAUUAAUACCGCAUACGAUCUACGGAUGAAAGCGGGGGACCUUCGGGCCUCGCGCUAUAGGUGUUGGCCGAUGGCUGAUUAGCUAGUUGGUGGGGUAAAGGCCUACCAAGGCGACGAUCAGUAGCUGGUCUGAGAGGACGACCAGCCACACUGGGACUGAGACACGGCCCAGACUCCUACGGGAGGCAGCAGUGGGGAAUUUUGGACAAUGGGCGAAAGCCUGAUCCAGCAAUGCCGCGUGUGUGAAGAAGGCCUUCGGGUUGUAAAGCACUUUUGUCCGGAAAGAAAUCCUUGGUUCUAAUAUAGCCGGGGGAUGACGGUACCGGAAGAAUAAGCACCGGCUAACUACGUGCCAGCAGCCGCGGUAAUACGUAGGGUGCGAGCGUUAAUCGGAAUUACUGGGCGUAAAGCGUGCGCAGGCGGUUUGUUAAGACCGAUGUGAAAUCCCCGGGCUCAACCUGGGAACUGCAUUGGUGACUGGCAAGCUAGAGUAUGGCAGAGGGGGGUAGAAUUCCACGUGUAGCAGUGAAAUUGCGUAAGAUGUGGAGGAAUACCGAUGGGCGAAGGCAGCCCCUGGGGCCAUACUGACGCUCAUGCACGAAAAGCCGUGGGGGG